rnacentral:tRNA from 2 species
GUGGGCGUAGCUCAGUUGGUAGAGCACUGGUUUGUGGUACCGGUUGUCGUGGGUUCGAGCCCCAUCGCCCACCCCA